rnacentral:rRNA from 1 species
GGGUGACUGCGUACCUUUUGUAUAAUGGGUCAGCGACUUAUAUUCUGUAGCAAGGUUAACCGUAUAGGGGAGCCGCAGGGAAACCGAGUCUUAACUGGGCGUUAAGUUGCAGGGUAUAGACCCGAAACCCGGUGAUCUAGCCAUGGGCAGGUUGAAGGUUGGGUAACACUAACUGGAGGACCGAACCGACUAAUGUUGAAAAAUUAGCGGAUGACUUGUGGCUGGGGGUGAAAGGCCAAUCAAACCGGGAGAUAGCUGGUUCUCCCCGAAAGCUAUUUAGGUAGCGCCUCGUGAACUCAUCUUCGGGGGUAGAGCACUGUUUCGGCUAGGGGGUCAUCCCGACUUACCAACCCGAUGCAAACUACGAAUACCGAAGAAUGUUAUCACGGGAGACACACGGCGGGUGCUAACGUCCGUCGUGAAGAGGGAAACAACCCAGACCGCCAGCUAAGGUCCCAAAGUCAUGGUUAAGUGGGAAACGAUGUGGGAAGGCCCAGACAGCCAGGAUGUUGGCUUAGAAGCAGCCAUCAUUUAAAGAAAGCGUAAUAGCUCACUGGUCGAGUCGGCCUGCGCGGAAGAUGUAACGGGGCUAAACCAUGCACCGAAGCUGCGGCAGCGACACUAUGUGUUGUUGGGUAGGGGAGCGUUCUGUAAGCCGUUGAAGGUGGCCUGUGAGGGUUGCUGGAGGUAUCAGAAGUGCGAAUGCUGACAUAAGUAACGAUAAUGCGGGUGAAAAACCCGCACGCCGGAAGACCAAGGGUUCCUGUCCAACGUUAAUCGGGGCAGGGUGAGUCGACCCCUAAGGCGAGGCCGAAAGGCGUAGUCGAUGGGAAACAGGUUAAUAUUCCUGUACUCGGUGUUACUGCGAAGGGGGGACGGAGAAGGCUAUGUUGGCCGGGCGACGGUUGUCCCGGUUUAAGCAUGUAGGCGGAUGUUCCAGGUAAAUCCGGAACGUUAUUAACGCUGAGGUGUGAUGACGAGGCACUACGGUGCUGAAGUGACAAAUGCCCUGCUUCCAGGAAAAGCCUCUAAGCAUCAGGUAACAUCAAAUCGUACCCCAAACCGACACAGGUGGUCAGGUAGAGAAUACCAAGGCGCUUGAGAGAACUCGGGUGAAGGAACUAGGCAAAAUGGUGCCGUAACUUCGGGAGAAGGCACGCUGAUGGUA